rnacentral:sRNA from 1 species
UCAAUUCCUUACAAGGUAUGUUUGUCCC